GAUGAACGCUGGCGGCGUGCCUAAUACAUGCAAGUCGAGCGAACAGACGAGGAGCUUGCUCCUCUGACGUUAGCGGCGGACGGGUGAGUAACACGUGGAUAACCUACCUAUAAGACUGGGAUAACUUCGGGAAACCGGAGCUAAUACCGGAUAAUAUAUUGAACCGCAUGGUUCAAUAGUGGAAGACGGUUUUGCUGUCACUUAUAGAUGGAUCCGCGCCGCAUUAGCUAGUUGGUAAGGUAACGGCUUACCAAGGCAACGAUGCGUAGCCGACCUGAGAGGGUGAUCGGCCACACUGGAACUGAGACACGGUCCAGACUCCUACGGGAGGCAGCAGUAGGGAAUCUUCCGCAAUGGGCGAAAGCUUGAUGGAGCAACGCCGCGUGAGUGAUGAAGGUCUUCGGAUCGUAAAACUCUGUUAUUAGGGAAGAACAAAUGUGUAAGUAACUAUGCACGUCUUGACGGUACCUAAUCAGAAAGCCACGGCUAACUACGUG
rnacentral:rRNA from 1 species